GUCCUAGGUCUCUGGGCCAUCAGG
rnacentral:piRNA from 1 species